UCCCUUUUGGGAAGAGAGAGAAAAGCAAAAACAGAUCUAAAUCGAGAGAACCCGAUUCUUCCUCCCUAUUCCUCCUUUUUGUGCACAGUAACCGGAGAAAGCAUUUCCGGUGAGUUUGGCAUCGUUGAGCCACCUCAGGUUGUCCCACUAGUCGGGGAGUUUCCUCUCUUCCUCCUCUUUCAUCUUAGCUUGAUUUGGCCGAAGGAAGUGAGAUUGAUGAUGAACAUUGGUGAUGAACAGUAACCAUCAGAUUUUCUGAUUUUGGAGUGAAUUUCCGGCCAUUUCCGCUUGAAAUUGGUUGUUGUCACAGGACGUACUGAGCCCUGGAGCGUGGAGGUUACGAACAUGCAGCAGGAUUAGCUGCGAGAUUCACCUGUGAAUGGACUUUUAUUUUAUUUAAAUGAUGCAUGCAACAUGGCAUUAAAUUUAUAACUUGAUUAAUGUUUGGAUAAAUGUGGUUUUCGAGGAAGAAAUGAGUUGGCAAGGAGGCUCUAUUUCGGCGCAUGCGUACAUUACCUAGUCGGCAGUCCCCUCUAGUUAAUAGUCUGGUCGGCAGUCCCUCCCAGAUUAUAUCUCGGUUGGCAGUCCCUCCCAGACUAUAUCUCGGUUGGCAGUCCCCUCCGGUGAGUCAUCUGGUCGGCAAUCCCCUCCAGAUAAGGUGGUUAGUCAGCAGUCUCCUCUAACUACCUGUGGUUAGUCUGCAGUCCCCUCUAACUACCUGUGGUUAGUCUGCAGUCCCCUCUAACCAACGCCUCCUACAUUCUGGUUGGCAGUCACUUCCAAUGCGUCAUCUGGGCGGCAGUGCCCUCCAGAUGGCAUGAGAUGACUAGACAGCAGUCCUCUCUAGUCAUCGAACAAUGUUUCAUGAAAGGAUGGUUUCAAAGGAAUGAGUUGGAAUUGUUUAUAAAUCCAGCUGCAUGUCAGGUUUUUAUUAACGAGAAAAUAGGAAAGCAUUCAAGUAUUGGUUUUAUAACUUAUUUCAGUUUUGUUCACUCACUCUAAUGGUUUUUAAAUGUUUUUCCCUUGGGCCUUUCGGUUUCAAAUGCCCAGAUUUCAAAUUUGCUGAGAUCGCAUCCGGGAACUCGAGGCAUAGGAAUCAACGCUUCCGUUUUGUCCGUACUUAACCUACCUUGUAUGAUAUCGACUUAGUUAUGUAGAAUUGCUCUGAUAACCCUUUUAAUUUGGAGAAUGUUAUUUCCUGAGAAUUUGUUAUUGUCUUGAAAUUAAGAUCAAAUUCGUACUUUUGGAA